ACGGGAGGCAGCAGUGGGGAAUAUUGGGCAAUGGGCGAAAGCCUGACCCAGCGACGCCGCGUGAAGGAAGAAGGUCUUCGGAUUGUAAACUUCUUUUAUAUGGGACGAAGAAAAUGACGGUACCAUAUGAAUAAGCCACGGCUAACUACGUGCCAGCAGCCGCGGUAAUACGUAGGUGGCGAGCGUUAUCCGGAUUUACUGGGUGUAAAGGGUGUGUAGGCGGGACUGCAAGUCAGAUGUGAAAACUAUGGGCUCAACCCAUAGACUGCAUUUGAAACUGUUGUUCUUGAGUGAAGUAGAGGUAAGCGGAAUUCCUAGUGUAGCGGUGAAAUGCGUAGAUAUUAGGAGGAACAUCGGUGGCGAAGGCGGCUUACUGGGCUUUUACUGACGCCGAGGCUCGAAAGCGUGGGGAGCAAACAGGAUUAGAUACCCUGGUA
rnacentral:rRNA from 1 species